rnacentral:rRNA from 1 species
CCUACGGGAGGCAGCAGUAGGGAAUCUUCCACAAUGGGCGAAAGCCUGAUGGAGCAACGCCGCGUGGGUGAAGAAGGUCUUCGGAUCGUAAAACCCUGUUGUUAGAGAAGAAAGUGCGUGAGAGUAACUGUUCACGUUUCGACGGUAUCUAACCAGAAAGCCACGGCUAACUACGUGCCAGCAGCCGCGGUAAUACGUAGGUGGCAAGCGUUAUCCGGAUUUACUGGGUGUAAAGGGAACGCAGGCGGGCUUUUAAGUCUGAUGUGAAAGCCUUCGGCUUAACCGGAGUAGUGCAUUGGAAACUGGGAGACUUGAGUGCAGAAGAGGAGAGUGGAACUCCAUGUGUAGCGGUGAAAUGCGUAGAUAUAUGGAAGAACACCAGUGGCGAAGGCGGCUCUCUGGUCUGUAACUGACGCUGAGGUUCGAAAGCGUGGGUAGCAAACAGGAUUAGAUACCCUGGUAGUC